GGACUAACUAUAGGAAAAUGAUGGGGUUCAAAUUUUCUUGGUACUUACCUCCCUGCUGUGUGUCAAUCUAUUUUUCGUAAAAUGAUCCUGAGGGAUCCGUUUUAGUUGGUAAUUUCCAAGAUGGCUGCCACCAUCUGAGAGAAACGAACCCAUUAUUAUUUCUUCACACAAACUUCGAAGAAAACUUGGUGGCCAAAAACUUUGUAAAUGGUGUUCUUUCCAAAAAUAAUGUAAUAAUUCUAAGAUGUGACGAACAGUGACAAGGUAC